UGCUUACAUGACGUCAUCACUUCCAUGUACUCCCUCGAUACAAUCGUCUCUGUCUUGUACCUAAAAUAGUACUUGUACUAUCAGAAGUGAAUAAACCGUUCUAGCAUCCUGUUUUCUUCAGAAAAGAAAUAAAAGAAAUACUCCUCAAUUUGGUGAGGAAAAAUGGAAGAAUGUGAUAUGGAGGUACAGGAUUUUGUUAGAACAGGACGUACAGGGAGAAGAAAUGCUAUGCCAGAUGUUUUAUCAGAGAAACAUGGUCAAGUUACCACGGCAGGACUUGCUGAGGUUCUAGACACUUUAAAUUUUGGUGCUUCUACGUCAGGUCAGUCUUGUCAAAGUAAUGUAUGUGGGAAUAACAACGAGCAGCCACCAAGUGGAACAUGAGCUUUGUGCUUUUAAUGCAAUUAGGAAAUCUUUCAGUAUCAGCUUGCUUGGUGGCAAGUUUGAUGGUACCUUUUURCAUAUUCUCAACUGUGAAUGAAAGGACUGGUGAAGAGGAAAUCAUAAGUUCAUGACACUGAGUUUUGCUUCAUAAAGAUUGUGCAAGAAAAGGUUCCAGUGUACUUGUAAUAGUUUGUUGUUUGAAAAUAACAAAUAUAUUGGAAGAACAAUCUAAUAUAAAUAUAUUAUGAAAAAUGGGUUUUGCUAUUGAUUUAGCACAGUGUUACCCUCAUGAAUAUUGUGGACAAAUACAGUAGGAGUGCAUUUCUUUAUAGAAGAUACAGUUAGUUGCAAAGUGCAUUUCAGCAAAUUCCUGGAAUAAGUGAAGAAUACAGAGAAGAUUCUUAUUUUAUUCAAAAAGGACAUGAAAGGAAUAGCGUUUCCAUUCUCUUUUUCAUUUUCAUUCAUUCUCUAAGGAUUCUUUUCCAGAAAAUGAAAUUCAAGUAUGGUGUGAACCAUAAUCAAAUUAAGCAAAAAUAUUGUUGCUUUUUGAUUGUAGUCUAUUGAUAGAUCUUUCCGAAAUUAAAAAAAAUGGACUGGUGCUGAGUCAGAGUUUUAAUUCAUCGCAGAUUUAUGAAAACCUAAUUUAGAGAAAAGACUGACUCAUCCCAGUCCUCUCUCAUGCCUUUUUUCUAGUGUUUUGCAAAGCUUCAUGAGAAGGAUGGUGUCUUUCGUAUGAUAGAGAGAAUAGAACAACUAGGGUUAAUUUUGUAAAAUACACUUUAGUGCCCUACACUUUAUUACUCUUUAUAGUACACACUUUUCUUUGUUUCACUUUGUUGCUACACUUUACUGCUCUUUUGCUGUUAUAUUUUGUUUCAUGGGUAAGAGUGAAGCUAUUAUUGGCUUAAUAAGCAAAAAUUUUGACUCACUAUGAAGCAAAAUUUGACUAUUAAAGUGUGAUAAUUCAUAUAUACAAAAGAAAAAGACAAUGUAAUUAGAGGUUAGUAUUAAGUGUUAAUAUAAUUAUUUCUUGGGUUUUGUUGACUUCUCUACAAUGAAAACUACUCUUAUUAACUAUUAGAAAAUUCACUCAAAAUAAAACAACACAGAGAAAUAGCUGUGCAUAGCAUAGUCCUCCUCUAUUAACUGUGAUAUAUUACCCUCAAACUGCAUUAUCUUUAUUUAUUUAUUCAUUUUUGAAUGAAAAUUAAAGUCAUUUGAAAGCCCUUA